GGAUUGGAAUGGACAAGAAAAUUUUUCUUUGUGUUAAAGUCAUUAAUUCCAACGCAGAGCUCACAACACAAAGAAGAAUUUUCUUGUCCGUUCCAAUC
rnacentral:miRNA from 1 species